AGGACGAACGCUGGCGGCGUGCUUAACACAUGCAAGUCACGGGGGCUCGCAAGAGCAACCGGCGAACGGGUGCGUAACACGUGAGCAACCUGCCGAUCUGAGGGGGAUAGCCGGCCCAACGGCCGGGUAAUACCGCAUACGUUCACUUAAGGACAUCCUUGAGUGAAGAAACCUCCGGGGCAGAUCGAGGGGCUCGCGGCCUAUCAGCUAGUUGGUGAGGUAACGGCUCACCAAGGCGACGACGGGUAGCUGGU
rnacentral:rRNA from 1 species